rnacentral:rRNA from 1 species
GGGUGAGUAACACGUAUGCAACCUGCCCCUGUCAGGGGGACAACCCGCCGAAAGGCGGGCUAAACCCGCGUACAUGCCACCGGGGCAUCCCGGAGGCAGGAAAGGCUUCGGCCGGACAGGGAUGGGCAUGCGGCGCAUUAGGCAGUAGGCGGGGUAACGGCCCACCUAACCGACGAUGCGUAGGGGUUCUGAGAGGAAGGUCCCCCACACUGGUACUGAGACACGGACCAGACUCCUACGGGAGGCAGCAGUGAGGAAUAUUGGUCAAUGGUCGGGAGACUGAACCAGCCUAGCCGCGUGAGGGAUGAAGGUACAGAGUAUCGUAAACCUCUUUUGUCAGGGAACAAAGGCGGGGACGUGUCCCCGGAUGAGUGUACCUGAAGAAAAAGCAUCGGCUAACUCCGUGCCAGCAGCCGCGGUAAUACGGAGGAUGCGAGCGUUAUCCGGAUUUAUUGGGUUUAAAGGGUGCGCAGGCGGUCUGUUAAGUCAGCGGUCAAAGCCCGGGGCUCAACCCCGGCCCGCCGUUGAAACUGGCAGUCUCGAGUUGGAGAGAAGUAUGCGGAAUGCGCGGUGUAGCGGUGAAAUGCAUAGAUAUCGCGCAGAACUCCGAUUGCGAAGGCAGCAUGCCGGCUCCACACUGACGCUGAGGCACGAAAGCGUGGGUAUCGAACAGGAUUAGAUACCCUGGUAGUCCACGCAGUAAACGAUGAAUGCUGGCUGUCCGGG